rnacentral:lncRNA from 1 species
CCCACUAAUAUCUUCCAACUUUCAAUAACUUCUGACAUCCACACUUCCCAACUUAAAUCUACACAAAUAAAAUUAGAAUGAGUAAAGCAAACAUAAAUAUAACUAUAAAAAUAAUAUAUCAAAUUCUUAUAGAUGAUACGUGCUAUUGAAAUGAGUAAACUAAACAUCACUCAAUCGCCAAUUGGUCCUUUGCUGCUUAUGCUUGUUGUGCUAGCAUUCCUCACAAAUUCUACAAAGAAAUAAAAUAGAUUUAUGAAAUCAGUAUUUGUAAUAUUAAACACUACAAAUAAAUUAUCAAAGUUAACAAAAUCAUGUUAUUACCUGCUUCAAUAACAUCAUAAAAUUCAGUUUUUUCCUCGGUUGGCUCCAUUAUG